GACGAACGCUGGCGGCGUGCUUAACACAUGCAAGUCGAACGGAGAUUAUUAAUGAAGCUUGCGAUUUAAUAAUCUUAGUGGCGGACGGGUGAGUAACGCGUGGGCAACCUACCCAUAAGCGGGGGAUAACAGUUGGAAACGACUGCUAAUACCGCAUAAGCUAUUAAGGUCACAUGACCUUAAUAGUAAAGGUGGCGAUUUUACAUUGCUAUCACUUAUGGAUGGGCCCGCGUCUGAUUAGCUAGUUGGUGGGAUAGCAGCCUACCAAGGCAACGAUCAGUAGCCGGCCUGAGAGGGUGGACGGCCACACUGGGACUGAGACACGGCCCAGACUCCUACGGGAGGCAGCAGUGGGGAAUAUUGCGCAAUGGGGGAAACCCUGACGCAGCGACGCCGCGUGAGCGAAGAAGGCCUUAGGGUCGUAAAGCUCUGUUGUAAGGGACGAAUGUUUAUCUGGCGAACAGUCAGAUAAAGUGACGGUACCUUACCAGCAAGCCCCGGCUAA
rnacentral:rRNA from 1 species